UGUCUAGAAUUACCUUGGCUUCUCCUUCUUCAUCGUUUAAACUCUGUGUCUACAACUGAAAAUAUAAAGUGAUACUUAAAUUAGGGUUUCUACUGCUUCUUUUCACAGUUUCAUUAAGAUCGUAUAGUCGAACGGUUAGUUUUUACUGUUCUAUUUUAUUUUCUUUUAUCAGUACUGUGAUUGUUUUAUUUUCUUUUGUGUUCGAAAUGUCUUUCUAAUUUUAUCUUGAUUUUUUGAAACUCAAAAAAUACUUCCAUUUGUGGAUGCUCUACCAUCUUCUUCACAAGAUAAAUUGGGGUUUGGACUUCUUCGCUGCUCUAACUUUGUUGCAUCAAGCUGCAGACAUGGACUGAAAAAAGCAACAUUACCUAUUAUGGAGCAUUAUACAGAAGCAAGAGAUGGUUAGUCAAUAGAUCAAAAGGAAAGUGCUCUGGCAUAACAUCAUCAAGAACCCGAUUCUGACUUUGGUAUAUGGCAAGCAAAAGAGCUUCUUCAUCAUUUGGAGAGUGUACUGGAUAAUGAGCUUGUCAACACAUGGUUGAGGUGAAACCACAUGAUUAAGCUGAGGCAUAGUUGUUCGGAGUCUAAUGGCGUCAAUGAAGAGUAGAAGGUAAAAUGGGAUGAGUACUUUGUGCAGCUUUUUACUUCAUUUUUUAUGCAUGUUAGAGCUUCUUCAAAGGCUUUUGAUUAUGAUUUGGUUAUUAUUCAAGCUGGUGUUGGUGGCUAUGGUGCUGCUCUUUGCGCCAUCAAGAAAGUAAACCACCUUGUUGUAAUUCUGUGGUGGAUUGAGUUAUAUAGGUGUUAGUCUUCGCUUUCGCUCUUAGUUGCAGAAGAAGACUUGUGAGAGCACCUUUGUUUUAUUUUGUUAAGAUGUAUAAUUCAUGUUCAGCUGAAUAUUAUCCCAGUAUAAUGCAAAUAGUUGGGCCCAUGCUUGCACUGGCCAAUCCCAUCUAGUCA